UCCCCUUUGGGGAAGAAAACGAAGGGGUGUUCCCCNCUUCUUCAUCCCCUACGGGGAACUAAAGGGGACGGAGUCCCCUUUAGUUCCCCUAAAGGGGAUGAAGAAGGUUCCCCUUCUUCAUCCCCUACGGGGAACCAAAGGGGAGGGAUGACGAAGGGGUUCCCCUAAAGGGGAAGAACACCCCAAAGUCUCUUCUUCUUCCCCUUUAGGGGACUCCGUCCCCUUUAGUUCCCCUAAAGGGGAUGAAGAAGUGCUCCCCUUCUUCCCCUUUAGGGGAAGAAGGGGUUCCCCUAAAGGGGAAGAACACACCCAAAGUCUCUUCUUCUUCCCCUUUAGGGGACUCCGUCCCCUAAAGGGGAAGAAGAAGAGACGAAGAAGUGUUCCCCUUCGGGGAGACGAAGGGGUGUGUUCCCCUUCGGGGAGACGAAGGGGUUCCCCUUCGGGGAUGACGAAGGGGUUCCCCUUCGGGGAAGAACUAAAG
rnacentral:lncRNA from 1 species